AACGAACGCUGGCGGCAUGCCUAACACAUGCAAGUCGAACGAGACCUUCGGGUCUAGUGGCGCACGGGUGCGUAACGCGUGGGAACCUGCCCUUAGGUUCGGAAUAACUCCCCGAAAGGGGUGCUAAUACCGGAUAAUGUCUUCGGACCAAAGAUUUAUCGCCUUUGGAUGGGCCCGCGUUGGAUUAGCUAGUUGGUAGUGUAAAAGCCUACCAAGGCGACGAUCCAUAGCUGGUCUGAGAGGAUGAUCAGCCACACUGGGACUGAGACACGGCCCAGACUCCUACGGGAGGCAGCAGUGGGGAAUAUUGGACAAGGGGCGAAAGCCUGAUACAGCAAUGCCGCGUGAGUGAUGAAGGCCUUAGGGUUGUAAAGCUCUUUUACCCGGGAUGAUAAUGACAGUACCGGGAGAAUAAGCACCGGCUAACUCCGUG
rnacentral:rRNA from 1 species